UUUCCCCAAUGUGGCACUAAUGCAAUUCCACAGUAUGAGCAGCAGCAGAUUGGCACAUUAUCCCACCAGGUAGAAGCAGAUUGGCACAUUAUCCCACCAGGUAGAAGCAGAUUGGCACAUUAUCCCACCAGGUAGGAGCAGAUUGGCACAUUAUCCCACCAGGUAGGAGAAGAUUGGCACAUUAUCCCACCAGGUAGAAGCAGAUUGGCACAUUAUCCCACCAGGUAGGAGCAGAUUGGCACAUUAUCCCACCAGGUAGGAGCAGAUUGGCACAUUAUCCCACCAGGUAGGAGCAGAUUGGCACAUUAUCCCACCAGGUAGGAGAAGAUUGGCACAUUAUCCCACCAGGUAGAAGCAGAUUGGCACAUUAUCCCACCAGGUAGAAGCAGAUUGGCACAUUAUCCCACCAGGUAGAAGCAGAUUGGCACAUUAUCC
ensembl:lncRNA